CUUUCUUUAUGGUGUUAGAUGAAGAACAAAACAAGAGCACAGGGUAAAUUGCUUUGAAUAAAUAAAAACUGACCAGAUCCUAUAGCUGGACCUUGAAUAAAACCUAAACCUUUUUAGAUGUUUAGGUAAAAGUGUUCACUACCUUCUACUUUCUGGUUUGAUCCAGCCCUCUGAAGAUUAAUCUGUCAGUAUACUGAUUCACUCACAACCCAGCAACACUGCAACCUUUCAGGAUACUCUAUUAUAUCUGCUUUUCUAACCUGGUUUCCACUCCAUAUGUUCUAAAUUUGCAGGUAUUUCUCUGGACCUCCAAACCUCAAGAUGUAACAGAUGUAACCUGAGCUUUGGGCAAAAUUGGCUCCUGAAUCUCACGCUAUGGCUUGAGUCCCAUCUCUAGGUUUAAGGUGACACCAGUCUGAGUCUCACCAUGAGGAGAGCUGCACGAGCAAGUCCUCCCUGCCAUCCAAGGGGGAUGCACUGCUAACCAGAGAGACAACAGUCAGUCCCUGGGUGUCUGUCAAGGUGGACGGCAUUGCAAGUAACUGUUUGCCAGUAGCCACCCCAAUACUGAACAUGGAUAUCCUUGGAUGUGUAGCUAUAGGUGUCACAGUUAGCCAAGAACAUCAUGCUUACAGAUCUGAGCAACCUGGGCAAAAAUCCUCCUUCACCAGCCAGAAGUCAUGAAACCAAAGGCAGAAAUCAGCAUGAGGAGACCAGGCACCUCAGACUGAUGGCAGCAUUAAUCUUCAGAGCCCAUUAAGGUAAAUAAGGGCUUCUUCUGUUCUGUUCUGGACUUGGAGAGAAAAUUCAGGAACAGUUGGGGCCUUUCUCUGAAAUGACAAGAAGCCAACUAUUCAUCAGAAUAUGAAGUGUUGGAAAGCCAUGGAUGGCAAUAUCCUGCAGCAGCAGGUGCAGGGGCUGGUUAGCCCGAGUGGGGGAAGAUGUAAAAGGUGAGAAAAAUAUCAACUUGUGAGCAGCAGAAUAGCUCCCAGGGCAGGCUGUGGAGAAGGGCGCUCUGAACAGAUUCUCCACUGUCCUCCUGCCACUCCUAUAUCAAUAUUUUUGGAGAGAAACUGCUUCUUGAGAAAACCAAUUAGAGAGAACUGAGUGCAAAAGCAACACUGUUAUGCAGUUACAGGCUGUGUGAUGGCAAACAGAAGACAGGUUUUACUCACUGAUAUUCCUAUUUGGUCCUGUUUUGGCAAACAGCAGAAAAUUGUGGCCUAAGCAGAACAGUAAAGACUGUAUUCUGACUCUGACUUUCUCUCACCAAAGCAGUAAAUAGAAUCUUACAGCAAACAGGCUCCCAGAUGCCCCAGCUUGCGUGGCCUUCUUACUAGCUAAGAAGGGUCUCUGUUCUCUUCCUCAGUGUCACAUAUGGAGUACUCAAUAAGCAAGUUCCUGAUUUCAAAUUUGGUAAUGGUCAGAAGCCCCAAGCAGGAAUCACUGAACUGUAAAAGCAGUCAGUCUACAAUGCACUUAGCGUUUGUCUCCAGUAAUCUUAAAGCAAGGUAAAGUAAGGCGAUAGGUUAGAAGGAGUAUCUCUGAUUAGUUCUGA
rnacentral:lncRNA from 1 species